rnacentral:rRNA from 1 species
UACGAAGGGGGCGAGCGUUGUUCGGAUUUACUGGGCGUAAAGGGCGCGUAGGCGGUCAGUGCAAGUCAGUUGUGAAAUCUCCGGGCUUAACUCGGAAAGGUCAACUGAUACUGCUCGACUAGAGUGCGGAAGGGGCAACUGGAAUUCUUGGUGUAGCGGUGAAAUGCGUAGAUAUCAAGAGGAACACCUGCGGCGAAGGCGGGUUGCUGGGCCGACACUGACGCUGAAGUGCGAAAGCUAGGGGAGCGAACGGG